ACGGGAGGCAGCAGUGGGGGAUAUUGCACAAUGGGGGAAACCCUGAUGCAGCGACGCCGCGUGAGUGAUGAAGUAUUUCGGUAUGUAAAGCUCUAUCAGCAGGGAAGAAAAUGACGGUACCUGACUAAGAAGCUCCGGCUAAAUACGUGCCAGCAGCCGCGGUAAUACGUAUGGAGCAAGCGUUAUCCGGAUUUACUGGGUGUAAAGGGAGCGUAGACGGUGACGCAAGUCUGAAGUGAAAGGUGUGGGCUCAGCCCGCAAACUGCUUUGGAAACUGUGUGACUAGAGUGUCGGAGAGGUAAGUGGAAUUCCUAGUGUAGCGGUGAAAUGCGUAGAUAUUAGGAGGAACACCAGUGGCGAAGGCGGCUUACUGGACGAUAACUGACGUUGAGGCUCGAAAGCGUGGGGAGCAAACAGGAUUAGAUACCCUGGUA
rnacentral:rRNA from 1 species